rnacentral:rRNA from 1 species
GCAUGGGGGCAGACUUGGACGCGGGGUUCAGGGUCACAGUUUUGAGGCCUGUACUUCCCCGCGGACAGGCCAGCAUCGGUUCUGGGGGCCGGACAAAGGCGAGGGGAACGUGGCUCUCUUCGGGGAGUGUUAUAGCCCUUUGCGCAAUGCGGCCACCUGGGACCGAGGACCGCGCUUCGGCAAGGAUGCUGGCGUAAUGGCCUCAUGCGG